GUCAUACACCUAGACACACACACACCUAGACACACACAUCUGUCAUACACCUAGACACACACACACGUAGACACACACAUCUGUCAUACACCUAGACACACACACACCUAGACACACACAUCUGUCAUACACCUAGACGUAGACACACACAUCUGUCAUACACCUAGACACACACACACGUAGACACACACAUCUGUCAUACACCUAGACACACACACACGUAGACACACACAUCUGUCAUACACCUAGACACACACACACGUAGACACACACAUCUGUCAUACACCUAGACACACACACACCUAGACACACACACACGUAGACACACACAUCUGUCAUACACCUAGACGUAGACACACACAUCUGUCAUACACCUAGACACACACACACGUAGACACACACAUCUGUCAUACACCUAGACACACACCAAGACAGCGUUUAGAGGUUUGGGUCAGUAACCGAAAGGUCUCUAGUUUAAAUCCCCAAGUCGACAAGUUGGUGGGGGGGGGGGUCUGUCGACGGCACUUAACCCCGAUUGCUUUCAGUCGUCGUUCGUACUGGCUGACCCUAGCCGUGACCCCACUCUCCGAGGGCGUCUCAGGGAGAGUUGAGAUAUGCAAAGAAACACAUUUCCAAUUCACACACGUGAAACACUGGUACGUGUGACAGGACUGAUAUAAAGGAUUAUUAGCUGAAGAUACUCUGCACAUAUACAUACCGUUGCUGUCUGAUGGAAACCUUGUAACUCCAUUUUAUCCCAAACAUUUGUAUUGAAUGCAGUAACUCCCCUCCAAUAUAGACUGAAUAUUUCCUGACUCUACGACUAAGAACAUAUGUUUAUAAUGGCUCCUGAAGUUUGGUAAUUAUAUGUUUGUUAAAAAUAUAACUUUUUUUUUUUCUUUUUUUUCCCCAUUUCUUGAAGUUUCUGUUUUGGAGAUGGGCCUACAGGGUUCUCAUCAGAAAGCUAUGAUACACACGUGUGUGUGUGUGUGUGUGUGUGUGUGUGUGCGUGUAUAUAUACACACACACACAUCUGAGAGUCACAAACACCCACAGCUGGAGUGUAACACACACUUAUCCAAACACGCUUGUCAUACACCUGACCAAACACGCGUGUACACACACGAACACACACACGCACACACACACGCAGGCCCAACUCAUACAUUGUCACACAGCCAUACAUAUACAGGUAUCAUACACAGUGGAUACAGCACACUAGGUUGGGAGUCAUAGGGGAAACCAAUAUCUCUUACUGCAUGUGUUUAUGGAUGUGGGUACGUAAACCCGCAAGGCACUGUGGCCCCUCAUGAUGAGUUCUGUUGUUUUUAUUUUGGCCCCCCACCCCGUUAAAGUUGCCCGUCCUUGGUAUCGACUGACAGGAGACUGUGCUAGAACGUACUGUAGCUGUGCCAUAGUCUAAUAGUGGCAAACCACGUCUGCUCAUGUCAUGCUGUUUGACAUCCACACACACACUUAGUCACUUUUUUUUUAUAUAUAUAUAUUUUUUAAGCACUUUACAUUUGUCAAUCCUUUACUUGAUUUAGUCUUUAUGCAGUAUGUCACGAACCUGAAACGUCAGGAUGCUUAUAAGCUGGUUAUAAUAAGUUGUGUUCGCCACUGAUUUCAGACCGUGACGGACACAUUGAACAGGGAGUUGUUCCGUAUGCUAGUUUGGAACAUCGCAGAAAACUUCUCUUGGGUUUUAAUCAGUCACGUCCCUGUCAGUCUCUGGUUUGGACGGCCAUUUUGAUCCAAUGACAACAGCACUUUGCCGUGAUCAUGUGACUUCACAGGGAUGCUGGCACUUACUGUACAAACAGACAUAAACAUACACUUCCAUGAAAAAGUGGAUCUCACAUGAUCCAUAUUCACCAUUUCUUUCUCUUACCUUUUCUCGCUCUCCUUCACCUUUUUAUCUCCAUCCCUCAAAUACCCCCUGACCCUCCCACCUAUGGGGCAUGGUGUAUGUGAACAGAGUGAUACGAGAGGGUGGCGUUAUAGAACUGGUACAGGAAGUUGAGGUCAAGUCAUAGAGGGAUUUAAGGGAAGAUGGGUGGAAGUGAGGAUCUGAGGGUUACUGAAUAAGAACUGUGGGGUUUACAGAAUGUUCAAAGGAGAGUUCUAGAACGGUGGAGGUUGUCUGGGGGUAAACAUACUAUACACUGCAGUAUGCCAUACAGACUUUAGUACAGAACAGUACAGGUGUAGUACACUACAGUAUGCCAUACAGACUUUAGUACAGAACAGUACAGGUGUAGUACACUACAGUAUGCCAUACAGACUUUAGUACAGAACAGUACAGGUGUAGUACACUACAGUAUGCCAUACAGACUUUAGUUCAGAACAGUACAGGUGUAGUACACUACAGUAUGCCAUACAGACUUUAGUACAGAACAGUACAGGUGUAGUACACUACAGUAUGCCAUACAGACUUUAGUACAGAACAGUACAGGUGUAGUACACUACAGUAUGCCAUACAGACUUUAGUUCAGAACAGUACAGGUGUAGUACACUACAGUAUGCCAUACAGACUUUAGUUCAGAACAGUACAGGUGUAGUACACUACAGUAUGCCAUACAGACUUUAGUUCAGAACAGUACAGGUGUAGUACACUACAGUAUGCCAUACAGACUUUAGUACAGAACAGUACAGGUGUAGUACACUACAGUAUGCCAUACAGACUUUAGUUCAGAACAGUACAGGUGUAGUACACUACAGUAUGCCAUACAGACUUUAGUUCAGAACAGUACAGGUGUAGUACACUACAGUAUGCCAUACAGACUUUAGUUCAGAACAGUACAGGUGUAGUACACUACAGUAUGCCAUACAGACUUUAGUUCAGAACAGUACAGGUGUAGUACACUACAGUAUGCCAUACAGACUUUAGUUCAGAACAGUACAGGUGUAGUACACUACAGUAUGCCAUACAGACUGUAGUUCAGAACAGUACAGGUGUAGUACACUACAGUAUGCCGUACAGACUUUAGUACAGAACAGUACAGGUGUAGUACACUACAGUAUGCCAUACAGACUUUAGUUCAGAACAGUACAGGUGUAGUACACUACAGUAUGCCAUACAGACUUUAGUACAGAACAGUACAGGUAUAGUACACUACAGUAUGCCAUACAGACUUUAGUUCAGAACAGUACAGGUGUAGUUCACUACAGUAUGCCAUACAGACUUUAGUACAGAACAGUACAGGUGU